UUUUUUGUAGUAUAAUUUAUUACAUUUACCUUCCAAGUAAAAAAUCUCAGUGCUAACAUUUAGUUUAAAAA
rnacentral:tRNA from 1 species